rnacentral:lncRNA from 1 species
CGCGGUUUUCAAUAGAAAUGAUAAAACAAUGCCUGAAUUUUCAAUAGUAGCUCUGCAAGGACUUUGGGCUGUGAACUUGGCAUUUUUGCCAGAUCAAACAUAGCAAUGUUUCAUGGCAAUUUCAUGAACACUCUCACCAUAUUUAUUUUAUAAUGUCCCAGACCUAAAACAUACUAAUAGGAGUUUGUUAAAUAUGUAGAAAGGUAUUUU